CAAGAGGAUUCUUCCCCUGUCUGUGACUCUUUCCUGGACAGGGCGGGCCGUAGCCAGAGACCAGAAAGUUUAUUGAGAAGCUUCAGGAGUGUCUUCCCCCAAAAGAGAUACGAGCAAGCAAUGGGGAAUUUGUCAAAGGUUGCCAAACGUGCCCUAGGCGAGCCCACAUGGCAGGAAGAUUGCAUCACACUGUCCUUGGACGAUUCCAAUGCUGACAAGGGGACCCUAGACAAGUUACCUUCCCGAACCAUUGUUUCUCUGUAUGUACAAUGAUACUUUAAAAAAAUGUGCUGUUUUAAUUUUAAAACUGAGGUUUAACUCACAUAUAAUAAAUCACAUAAAUGUUAA